GACGAACGCUGGCGGCGUGCUUAACACAUGCAAGUCGAACGGAAAGGCCCUGCUUUUGUGGGGUGCUCGAGUGGCGAACGGGUGAGUAACACGUGAGUAACCUGCCCUUGACUGUGGGAUAACUUCAGGAAACUGGGGCUAAUACCGGAUAGGAGCUCCUGCUGCAGGGGGGGGGUUGGAAAGGUUCGGCGGUUGGGGAUGGACUCGCGGCUUAUCAGCUUGUUGGUGGGGUAGUGGCUUACCAAGGCUUUGACGGGUAGCCGGCCUGAGAGGGUGACCGGCCACAUUGGGACUGCGAUACGGCCCAGACUCCUACGGGAGGCAGCAGUGGGGAAUAUUGCCCAAUGGGCGGAAGCCUGAUGCAGCAACGCCGCGUGCGGGAUGACGGCCUUCGGGUUGUAAACCGCUUUCGCCUGUGACGAAGCGUGAGUGACGGUAAUGGGUAAAGAAGCACCGGCUAACUACGUG
rnacentral:rRNA from 1 species